ensembl:lncRNA
GCAGCAGCAGCUAUGCUUGCUGCAGAUGUUCAGUAAGAUUUUUGUUGUAUCUCCAUGCAUUCCAGUAUUCCGUGUACUCUGGAUUGGGUUAUCUGUAUGCUAAACAUGAUUCUAGAAGUCCCUUAUCCUAUUUUUAGACUAGUUGUAUUCUAUCCAGCAUAACAUCACUUGUUAAACAGAAACACAGACUCCAUGGCAUCUGCUUUAUACUUGGUGAAAUCUUAGAAUCUUUGGGGGAAAGCUCUCUAGAAAUGCAGGUUCUUACUUUUUAAAUUAGGCCCCGCCUCUAAGCAUGUUUGAGGACCACUGCUUUAAGUGAUGAUAUCCGGCUCUGCCUGAGAGAGCUCUUCAGAAGCCAGCCCUCUCUUGUCCUCUCCCUCCCCUACCUUAUCAUCAUUCACCGUGGCUGCAGCCAUCUCCUUCUCCACACUCUGCCUCCUCCUCUCCAGAUCACCUGGCCGACUAUGCCACACCAGGCCUAGCCCUCUUUGUGAAUUCUGGGGACCAUGAUCUUGGCUCAAUCCAGGGAGGCAGAGUCAGGCCUCUCAUCCUCAGAGAGUGAGGAUAGGGAGUCCCAGCAGGAUCUAUGGAAGCAUAAGAGCUGAUAUGUGGUUACAGGUUGUUAGAAAAGCUCCACUUCUAAAAAGUUAUGUUCUAUGUUACAGUCAGAAAAAUUGUCUUUUUAUACCGUGUGGCAUUCUAUGGUUCAGUUCAGUUCAGUUCAGUCGCUCAGUUGUGUCCGACUCUUUGCAACCCCAUGAAUCGCAGCACGCCAGGCCUCCCUUGUCCAUCACCAUCUCCCAGAGUUCACUCAAACUCACAACCAUCGAGUCAGUGAUGCCAUCCAGCCAUCUCAUCCUCUGUCGUCCUCUUCUCCUGCCCCCAAUCCCUCCCAGCAUCAGAGUCUUUUCCAAUGAUAGAACUGAACAUCUUCCCACUAAAAACUCUUUAAAAACAUCUAUAGAAAGAAACAUCUAUUUCAAGCCAAGGGCCAAAAUCACACUGAAUAGUGAUGUGUUACAAGUGGUCUUAUUAAAAUCAGGGACAAGUCAAGGAUGCUGUGAUCACCUCUAUUAAUUAUCAAUGCUCUGAAAGUUCUAGAAUGUGCUAUCAGACAAGAAAAUUCCGUAAUAACUGUGGUUGCUGAAAGAGGGAAAUAAAAUAGCCACUGAUUAAAGAUGAUAUGAUGGCUACCUGAAAAACCCGAAAGUAGCAGCUGAAACAUAGUGAUAAAUCGAACAGCUCUGUCAGGGAGUGAGAUGCUAACAACUCUCCAGAGUUACUGUUGGCAAAAGAAUCAGUGUAACUGCUGGAAACUGCAGUGAGGAAAGGAUGCAAUCCAAAAGAGCAAGGUGGUGGGGGAAUAGAAAUACCCUAUGAUUAAACUUAAGAGGAAUAAAAUACCAAUCUGCACAAAAACGUAAAGUUCUACUGAGGAACAAAGGAUGGAAGGAAGCUUGUAUAAAUGGAUGGAUGGAUGGAUGGAUAAAUGAGUGGAUGGGUGGAUGGAUGGAUGGAUGGGUGGUUGGAUAGAUGCAUGGACAGAUGGGUGGUUGGAUAGAUGGAUGGAUUGAUAGAUGGAGGAUGGAUGGAUGGGUGGAUAAAUGGAUUAGUGAGUAGAUGGAUGGACAGAUGACUGGCUGACUGGAUGGACAGGUGGAUGGAUGGAUAGAUAAAUUAGUGAGUGGAUGGGUGGGUGGAUAACGGAGGAUGGAAAGAAUAAAGCAGAUGUUUACACUCCAAUUCUAGAAACAUAUUCUACGAAAUUGAGUAGGAGCUGGGUAAUGAUUGCUUUCUCCAGAACAGUGGCAAGUGUUUGGAAAUGGCCUAAGUACUCAUCAGGGAGGGGUGAAGUACAAUCUGUGGACACCCCACAAGGAACAGCCCUCCCCCUGCUUCCUGCCACCUUCCCCAUCCCCAGGAGCUCAUCAAGUGUUCUGCCGAUGCCCUGCCC